rnacentral:misc_RNA from 1 species
GAUGAAGAACGCAGCGAAAUGCGAUAAUUAAUGUGAAUUGCAGAAUUUAGUGAAUCAUCGAAUCUUUGAACGCACAUUGCGCCCCCUGGUAUUCCGGGGGGCAUGCCUGUCCGAGCGUCAUUGCUGCCCUCAAGCACGGCUUGUGUGUUGGGCCUCCGCCCCCCGGCUCCCGGGGGGCGGGCCCGAAAGGCAGCGGCGGCACCGCGUCCGGUCCUCGAGCGUAUGGGGCUUCGUCACCCGCUCCGUAGGCCCGGCCGGCGCCCGCCGGCGACCCCCCUCAAUCUUUCCAGGUUGACCUCGGAUCAGGUAGGGAUACCCGCUGAACUUAAGCAUAUCAAUAAGCGGAGGA